rnacentral:rRNA from 1 species
UUACCGGCUUGACAUCAUGAGAUACCCUUCGGGACAGGUGGUGCAUGGUUGUCGUCAGCUCGUGUCGUGAGAUGUUAGGUUAAGUCCUGCAACGAGCGCAACCCUAUCUUAGUUGCUACCAUAUGAGACUCUAGGAGACUGCCCGGGUUAACGGGAGGAAGGUGGGGAUGACGUCAAAUCAUCAUGCCCCUUAUGCCGGGCUACACACGUGCUACAAUGGAGUACAAGAGGCACCGUGAGGGGAGCAAACUUAAAACUAUCUCAGUUCGGAUUGUAGGCUGAAACUCGCCUACAUGAAGCUGGAGUUGCUAGUAAUCGCGAUCAGAUGCGCGGUGAAUACGUUCCCGGGCCUUGUACACACCGCCCGUCACACCAUGAGAGCUGGAAACCGAA